ACCAGCCAGUAGCGUGCAGGAUGACGGCCCUAUGGGUUGUAAACUUCUUUUAUACGGGAAUAAAGUGAGCCACGUGUGGCUUUUUGCAUGUACCUUAUGAAUAAGGACCGGCUAAUUCCGUGCCAGCAGCCGCGGUAAUAACUA
rnacentral:rRNA from 1 species